GAUGAACGCUGGCGGCGCGCUUAACACAUGCAAGUCGAACGGUGAAGCAGGAGCUUGCUCUUGUGGAUCAGUGGCGAACGGGUGAGUAACACGUGAGCAACCUGCCCCUGACUCUGGGAUAAGCGCUGGAAACGGCGUCUAAUACUGGAUAUGUGAUGUGACCGCAUGGUCUGCAUCUGGAAAGAAUUUCGGUUGGGGAUGGGCUCGCGGCCUAUCAGCUUGUUGGUGAGGUAAUGGCUCACCAAGGCGCCGACGGGUAGCCGGCCUGAGAGGGGAACCGGCCACACUGGGACGGAGACACGGCCCAGGCUCCUACGGGAGGCAGCAGUGGGGAAUAUUGCACAAUGGGCGGAAGCCUGAUGCAGCAACGCCGCGUGAGGGAUGACGGCCUUCGGGUUGUAAACCUCUUUUAGCAGGGAAGAAGCGAAAGUGACGGUACCUGCAAAAAAAGCACCGGCUAACUACGUGCCAGCCGCCGCCGUAA
rnacentral:rRNA from 1 species